CAGUCGCCGCGGUAAUACUAAGGGUGCAAGCGUUACUCGGAAUUACUGGGCGUAAAGCGUGCGUAGGUGGUGGUUUAAGUCCGUUGUGAAAGCCCUGGGCUCAACCUGGGAAUUGCAGUGGAUACUGGGUCACUAGAGUGUGGUAGAGGAUAGUGGAAUUUCCGGUGUAGCAGUGAAAUGCGUAGAGAUCGGAAGGAACAUCUGUGGCGAAGGCGACUAUCUGGGCCAACACUGACACUGAGGCACGAAAGCGUGGGGAGCAAACAGGAUUAGAUACCCCCGUAGUCCCUGUCUCUUAUAC
rnacentral:rRNA from 1 species